rnacentral:rRNA from 1 species
UACGUAGGUGGCAAGCGUUAUCCGGAUUUAUUGGGCGUAAAGGGAACGCAGGCGGUCUUUUAAGUCUGAUGUGAAAGCCUUCGGCUUAACCGGAGUAGUGCAAUGGAAACUGGGAGACUUGAGUGCAGAAGAGGAGAGUGGAACUCCAUGUGUAGCGGUGAAAUGCGUAGAUAUAUGGAAGAACACCAGUGGCGAAAGCGGCUCUCUGGUCUGUAACUGACGCUGAGGUUCGAAAGCGUGGGUAGCAAACAGG